AGGAAUUCCACGGACACGUUCGCUCGCGCAUAGUGUCGUAAACAGUCAGUUAAACAUAGUCGCCUGUAAACAGCGAAGCACACGCGUUCAUCAAGCGCACACCGUGCUCGCUCGUCAACAAUCAAACGCACAUCCCGCGCUCAAUCCGUCUUGGACACUCGCUCUGUCAUUCGCAGCGGUUAAUACACAGUCGUUUCGGCCGGGAACAAGAAGAUUUGUGUGCCGUGAUCAAUUAAGACAUCGCGCGGUGUCGGUGUCGAGGUCCGCGCCGCGCCGUUCCGAACCGCGGUUAAACCGCUCACCUCUUUGAUUUUCGAUAUUUUCGUUACCGGACCACGAAAUUACUGUUAUCGACACCGUUCACCGAUUUACCAAUUUGCCGUUUUAACCGUAGAAUGACUAAAUGUUUAAUAAUCGGACGAUAACCGAAGCCGGGUCAUAUUUUACCCGAAACAAAAUUCAUUUAUUUCGGCAUCGAAAGAUCUAUUUCUCGUCUGAUUUUUAUUUAAAAUCGGAUCACACGUUGUCGGUGAUUUUUUCUUCUAAAAAGACGAUACUAUGUCGUAGAAUAAAUUUAUUAGUUAAUUUUGUUAACGAAGAUUUUAUUCAUUAGAAAAAUAGAAUACACAAAACUUUAUUACAGAAAUUUAUUUGCAAAUAUAAAGUAUAUAUUCUCCAAAACAUUGAAAAGAUUUAGAUAAAAGAUGUCAGUUCGCUCUAAUUAUUGCUAUUAAUACGAUUCAAUUUAUAUAAUCAAUUUUCACCGAUAAAAUAACAAUAAACGCCGUGUCUUUUUUCUAAGCGGCUUAAUUUAAGAAACGAGUCAUUUCGGUGGAGGUAGAUACACGUGGAUCGUCGAUGGUUCAGAGGCGUUCACGGAAUCAGAUCAGCACGAAACGAAUCAGAAUUGAUUAAGAGGUCGGAAAGUGCGGCGUGAACGAUCGCGAGAGAUCGGAAGAGCGCGAGAGCAGGUGCUGAAGCGACUGUCGUCGAGGGACAAGUAGGCGCGGACUAAUAUUUUUGCAAAGUUCUGCAACGAGCCGCCAUAUUUUCCCGCGGAGCGGCUUACAGGAGGGUAAAAAGAGGAGGUGGUGGCAGGGUGCGAAGAGGAGCUUCCGGCAAAGUGGAUAGUCGCCGCAAAAAAUUCUGCGAAUCAUGGGCACGAAAGUAAUAUGUACCGAAAAUGGAGAAGAGGCAACAGUCUCAAACGAAUCGCCGCAAAAAAUUCUGCGAAUCAUGGGCACGAAAGUAAUAUGUACCGAAACUGGAGAAGAGGCAACAGUCUUAAACGAACUUCCUCCCGAAAUGCUUGCUCUUAAAACCAGCCUAAACGAAGAAAAAGCGGUAGCUCAUCAAGGCUCGCAAUUAGUCGUUCCAAGGAUGUGCAAAACGUGGAAAAAACGGCCGGUAAGAGAUGGUAUCUGGCGUGGCAAUUGUCCGAUCGCCGAAGAAGCAUCUAUGGUGAAAAUGCCGGAGGAAGAGAGGUGUCACAUAAGCGCGACAAAUGAGCGGCAAUUAACGGAGGCAGCGCCGCGAGACGCGGGUCCCGUCUUUGUCGGACCGCGUGAUCGCGGAUACGACGUGUUUACGAUUAGGAGCGAACGACAAUAAUGCCUCUCCCGCUCGCCUAAUUACACCCGGGCUGGCCGAGCGACGGUUUCACGGCGGGAAAGAGAUUCGCGCUGGCCGGCUCAUUAAUGGAGACAGCCGGCACGCCGGAAGACGUUUUGCACCGAUCCCCGCGAAAUUCUUUCUAUUCCCGAAGAAACGCUGGUCACUUGUCUCGCCACCAGCCUCGACCGCUGAACAUUUUUAUUCGGGGAAAAAAAAGGAGGGCACGAAUAAAGAUGAUGAUUAACCGGCAAAAAUCGUAAUUCGCUGAGUGGCUCUCCGAGGUCUAAUGAUAGAGUUUUAGUCCCGAUGCCGCAGGCUUUGCAUUAUCUUUCUGCUACUAUGUCUGAUUCCGCGUGCAUAUGUAGAGCAGUUUUAGUUUGCUGCAGUGCGAAGGUGUGUCUCCGCGUGUGUUUUAUGCACCCGGAUAAAUAAUACGUAGACGCUUUUCAAAGCUACUUAAAAGUUUUAUCGAAUUGAACCGUACGAAGCGAAUAGUUUCGAGAUGCUGCAAGAAAUAGUUUAUUAGACAAUGUGUAAAAUAUCGUUGCAGAAAUUGCGAUUAGGCGGAACGGCAUUUUUAUUAUUAUUUAUAUAUUAUUUAUUGUAUAGAGAGAUGUACAUAUAAUAGAAUUAUAUGUUUUGUA